rnacentral:rRNA from 1 species
GACAGAGGGUGCAAACGUUGUUCGGAAUUAUUGGGCGUAAAGGGCGCGUAGGCGGCUUUGCAAGUGGCGGGUGAAAUCCCUCGGCUUAACCGAGGAACUGCCUGCCAGACUGUGAGGCUUGAGACCGGGAGAGGUGAGUGGAAUUCCCAGUGUAGCGGUGAAAUGCGUAGAUGUUGGGAGGAACACCAGUGGCGAAGGCGGCUCACUGGACCGGAACUGACGCUGAGGCGCGAAAGCGUGGGGAGCAAACAGG